rnacentral:tRNA from 1 species
CAGUAGCUGAGUGGAUGACGCGAUGGCGUUUGAAGCAAAAGGUACUGGGUUCGAAUCCCAGAGUGAA